GGAUGAAGGACAACACAUUUAUUUUGCUAGGAGAAGCGCUUUUGCUUCCAACUUUAUUAGAUGACAUUGAAAUAUCCGAUUUUGUUAGUGAAGUGUUGAAUAUGGGACCGAAUAAACUGAUUCAUAAUCCUCUGACAUGGAAGUCUACGGCUAUAGAGUUGGAACCCCUGCUGCAAGAUUGUGAUCAGGUCUUGGUGGAUGAUCUGAGAUGAAGAGUGGCAAUUACCUUAAAAAACUCAACAUUUAAAGAAAUAAAAAUCAUGAAAGAAAAAAUCAAAAAAGCAGAGAGAUGGUUAGAUGAUAAUGGAAUAACGUGUGCCAGAGACGAUAAGAGUAAGUUGAUGGUCCUGUUAAAGAAAGAAACAUAUGACGCUUUUAUCAAGGACUUUAUUGUAAAGAGUAA
rnacentral:lncRNA from 1 species